rnacentral:misc_RNA from 1 species
UGCUCGGGCAGCGACGACAUCGCAUCCGCGCCUCUUCAGUUGUUGGCUCAAGCGCUCGUUGGCCUUGGCCGACGUCGGUUUCCUGUGCUGAAUACCUAUCGCGAGGGCAUUUUGUUGGCUGCAUCGUCCCUUUUCCGCCUCGCACUGCUGCGCCCGUYGGCGUCGUGGUGCGGGGUGGACCUCAAAGCGUGCGCCGUGUUCCGCAUCCCGUGCACUUCAAUACGGAUGCUCGGGUUGUCGGCCCACGGCGCACUGCUCGGUCCCUCGGAUGCGGAACACCGAGUGGGUACGAGGCCCUCGGCCUCCAUCUGCCCCGAAAAAAGCGUUYUACGCUUCGUGCGAACGACGGCCGCUCCGAUUUCGACCGUGUCCUCGUGGCUCGGGUCAUGUCGGGUC